CCUACGGGAGGCUGCAGUGGGGAAUAUUGGACAAUGGGCGAAAGCCUGAUCCAGCCAUGCCGCGUGUGUGAAGAAGGCCUUCGGGUUGUAAAGCACUUUCAGUGGGGAAGAAAGCCUUGGGGCUAAUACCCUCGAGGAAGGACAUCACCCACAGAAGAAGCACCGGCUAACUCCGUGCCAGCAGCCGCGGUAAUACGGAGGGUGCGAGCGUUAAUCGGAAUUACUGGGCGUAAAGCGCGCGUAGGCGGUCUGAUAAGCCGGUUGUGAAAGCCCCGGGCUCAACAUGGGAACGGCAUCCGGAACUGUCAGGCUAGAGUGCAGGAGAGGAAGGUAGAAUUCCCGGUGUAGCGGUGAAAUGCGUAGAGAUCGGGAGGAAUACCAGUGGCGAAGGCGGCCUUCUGGACUGACACUGACGCUGAGGUGCGAAAGCGUGGGUAGCAAACAGGAUUAGAUACCCGGGUAGU
rnacentral:rRNA from 1 species